rnacentral:rRNA from 8 species
AAAUUGAAGAGUUUGAUCAUGGCUCAGAUUGAACGCUGGCGGCAGGCCUAACACAUGCAAGUCGAACGGUAACAGGAAGCAGCUUGCUGCUUCGCUGACGAGUGGCGGACGGGUGAGUAAUGUCUGGGAAACUGCCUGAUGGAGGGGGAUAACUACUGGAAACGGUGGCUAAUACCGCAUAACGUCGCAAGACCAAAGAGGGGGACCUUCGGGCCU